GUUUUUCAGUCAUCCAACUUCGUAAAACCAGAACAGAACAGAGUACAAAACUAAGGGUUUUAUCAUAUUUGAAAAGUAUCUCAAGGUACUACUUUUUUAGCUAAAAAGAGUGGAACCUUGAGGUACCUUUUCAAAUUUCAAAGCUCUAAAACUAAACACCAUCAUCUAAUAUGUUAUACGUAAGAUAAGAUGCCACUGAAGCCGUAAAUAAUCGAUCGUUGUGUUCAACGCCUUCCGGCUUUUGACUUAACUGGAGCAAACAUGUCGUAGAGAAGACCGCAGUUAAUAACUGCAAAUGCGAAAAAUGGGAUUAGCAUAGGUGACAGUCAAAUUGCACAAAUCCAAGAUAUCAAAAGUCGAUCAAUCACGUCACGUACCCUUGUUCAAGAAAAUAUCAG
rnacentral:lncRNA from 1 species